rnacentral:rRNA from 1 species
UACAGAGGUCCCGAGCGUUGUUCGGAUUCACUGGGCGUAAAGGGUGCGUAGGUGGCGUGGUAAGUUUGAUGUGAAAGCUCAGGGCUUAACCCUGAAAUGGCAUUGAAUACUACUGUGCUGGAGGUUUGGAGGGGGACUGGAAUUCUUGGUGUAGCAGUGAAAUGCGUAGAUAUCAAGAGGAACACCAGUGGCGAAGGCGAGUCCCUGGACAACACCUGACCACUGAGGCACGAAAGCUAGGGGAGCAAACGGG